ensembl:miRNA Mir466m microRNA 466m
UGUGUGUGUUCUUGUGUGUGCAUGUGCAUGUGUGUAUAUGAAUAUACAUAUACAUACACACAUACACACGCACGUACACACACA